CUGAUGCAGCCAUGCCGCGUGUGUGAAGAAGGUCUUCGGAUUGUAAAGCACUUUCAGUAGGGAGGAARGGUUUUGUCYUAAUACAUCUNNGCUGUGACGUUACUUACAGAAUAAGCACCGGCUAACUCCGUGCCAGCAGCCGCGGUAAU
rnacentral:rRNA from 1 species